rnacentral:rRNA from 1 species
AUGCGGGCAGAGGCCGGUGGGCUGGGUUUCCUCUUAAUUUCCGACUCUGACCGCUGCACCUCCCAAUUAUGGAAGAGGUUGACUGACUGUGAUGGUAUUGCUUCAUGGGCGCUUGCAAGAACUAUUCAACUUAACAAGCUACUUUCCCUGAAUCCAGAGGAGGAAGAGCGCAUAGUGAUGCUAGGGUUUGCUGAAAACAACAAUGUGUUGUUGCUGUGGACGGUUGUUGGCCUCUUCACAAUCCAUCUCGAGUCAUUAAAGUUCAAGAAGCUUUUCAAAACUAUGCAAAUUUCUCACUAUCAUCCAUUCGAAAGUGUCUACACUGAAGUAACAGGCAUUGGUGGUAGACAUGGUGCAUCUGAUCUUAUGCACAAUAAAUAA